rnacentral:lncRNA from 1 species
GGAACAAGUUGGCAAAUUAAAGUUAAGCAUAUGACACUUGCUACCACUGUGUUUGGAUGGCAAGGAAUAAAAAUGUUUUUGAAAAUCUUAGGCAGCAAGUGGAUUCUAUUGUAAGAAGGAUUAAAAUGCACGUAUACAAAGCUAUGCUUAUAGUUCGUAUCCGAAUGUUUUGACCCGAUUUGAAUCUUUUUGUGGGUCAUUAGACGAUCGUUAGUACAUCUUUAUUUUAUUUACUCGGGUAUGCUUGAAGUAUUUUUAUUUUUUACAUGAUCUUCGAUUGCCGAUAUACUUAUAAAUGAGUUCUGAUCUAUUAAAUUUUACAUUUGCGGAUAAAUAAAUAAAUAAAAAUUGUAGCAUUGCUUGACGCGCGUGACUCACACCAUAAUGCACUAGGAACACGAAUUGGAGUACAAUCUUCACUUUUCUUGAUUCAAAAGAAAAUUUUGGUGAUUCAUGGAGACGUUCAUGAAAUUUCGUUCUGGGAUUUUUCUAAAAUCGGCGGCUGUUUCUUCUAUUGAAUUUUCCUUGCCUUUUUCCUCACUUACUUAUUCAUCUGUUUUCCGCUCCGAUUCCGGGAGGAAUUUUAUUUCCAUGAAAAAUGAAAUUCCGCGGAAUUUGAAUUUCCAGGGAAAGUCCCGUGAUUUUUCAAUUGUUCGUGGUUCUAAAGAUCGCCAUGCCCAUGAAGAUUCUUCACUUCAGGUAUUCCCAUCGCUCUGUUUUCAUUCCGCCCAUGUUUGGCUAAGCUUAAAUUUACUUAUAAGUAGAUAAUUAAGUAAUAAAAUAAAUAACUAUUAGACAGUUAAAGUUAAAAAUAACCAACUUUUUUACUUUAUACCUUAUCUCCAUGACUGUGGCUCUUAUAAUUGGAUAAUAUAAAUUUUGCAUAAGUGGAGAGGGAUUUCAGGGUUUUGCAGGGUCCAUUCUUGGUUAUUUUUUGUAGCAAAAUAUGAUAACAUCAUUUUUAUCAAUUUAUAUGAAGGUGAGAACCUGCUUUAAAUCUAUUUCGGUUUUUUUAUAUUGAUUUUGCGGCUAAACUCGAAUUUGAAUUAUUAGAAAAAUAUUGAGAAAUAUUUGAAUUUGAAUUCGAUCUAUAAUUGUUAUUUGUUGAUAGAAACUCAACAAUCGGUAUACCAAUG